rnacentral:rRNA from 1 species
UACGUAGGGUGCGAGCGUUAAUCGGAAUUACUGGGCGUAAAGCGUGCGCAGGCGGUGAUGUAAGACAGAUGUGAAAUCCCCGGGCUCAACCUGGGAACUGCAUUUGUGACUGCAUCGCUGGAGUGCGGCAGAGGGGGAUGGAAUUCCGCGUGUAGCAGUGAAAUGCGUAGAUAUGCGGAGGAACACCGAUGGCGAAGGCAGCCAUCUGGACCGACACUGACGCUCAUGCACGAAAGCGUGGGGAGCAAACAGG